rnacentral:rRNA from 1 species
CCUACGGGGGGCAGCAGUGGGGGAUAUUGCACAAUGGGGGGAACCCUGAUGCAGCGACGCCGCGUGGGUGAAGAAGCGCCUCGGCGCGUAAAGCCCUGUCAGCAGGGAAGAAAAUGACGGUACCUGAAGAAGAAGCUCCGGCUAACUACGUGCCAGCAGCCGCGGGAAUACGUAGGGGGCAAGCGUUAUCCGGAUUUACUGGGUGUAAAGGGGGCGCAGACGGCGAUGCAAGCCAGGAGUGAAAGCCCGGGGCCCAACCCCGGGACUGCUCUUGGAACUGCGUGGCUGGAGUGCAGGAGGGGCAGGCGGAAUUCCUGGUGUAGCGGUGAAAUGCGUAGAUAUCAGGAGGAACACCGGUGGCGAAGGCGGCCUGCUGGACUGCAACUGACGUUGAGGCCCGAAAGCGUGGGGAGCAAACAGGAUUAGAUACCCGAGUAGUC